AAGAAAUCCAGAUGGUUUACUUAGGUCUGUAUGAUUUCUUAAUUUCUUCUGUUAAAUAUGUAAUGACUUCUGUAAGAAUUUCCUACACAUUGAAGCUCUUUUCAAAUGCCUGUUCAAAAAAUUUGUGAACUUCUGAGUCAGAUUUGUCUUUACCUUUGCAUUUGCAUUAGCACUUUUCUGAGUUGUUCUUCAUCCAAUGAAACAAAAAUUCAUGGCAACAUUUCUUUUAGUGAGUGCUGAAAUGAUGAUAGGCUGUCUCUUUGUCCUUUCUUUUUCUUUUAUUUUUUUU
rnacentral:misc_RNA from 1 species